rnacentral:rRNA from 1 species
UACGUAGGGUGCGAGCGUUGUCCGGAAUUAUUGGGCGUAAAGAGCUUGUAGGCGGUUUGUCGCGUCUGCUGUGAAAUUCCAGGGCUUAACCCUGGGCUUGCAGUGGGUACGGGCAGACUAGAGUGUGGUAGGGGAGACUGGAAUUCCUGGUGUAGCGGUGAAAUGCGCAGAUAUCGGGAGGAACACCAGCGGCGAAGGCGGCGACCUGGGCCAAUACUGACGCUGAGGUGCGAAAGCGUGGGGAGCAAACAGG